CAGCUGUCACCUCCAAAAAGCUUUCUCGUGGAUGAUGGCAUUUUAUUUGAUUAUAGAUUCAUAACAUUUAAUUAAAAUAUGUUUUUAACCUGGUGGGUGACAGAGGAAGAACAUAAUUUCUUCAACCGCAAGCAAGAGUUUUCAUCUUGCUUGCUAACACAGCUAGCUAGCUAGGUAGCUAGCUGUGUUAGCAAGCUAGAUGAAAACUCUCCUUUAGCUGGCCACCAAUGUGCAGUGUGACUGACCAAGGGUAACUGUCAACUUAUUAGUCUGCAAUGGACACUGGAGGUGAAGGAAUCUGCAUUAGUAACUGUAAACUUCUGAAUCUGAAAAUGGACACUGGAGAUGUGACCUUCCACUGACCCAUGCCACAAUUCAACAAUGGAUCAUGUUAUUUGAGCAAAACAUUUAGAUUAUUGAAAGCACUCUUUUAGUUGUCAGUCAUGAGUCAUUCAUUCAAUUUUUUCAAAGUAUACCACCGCAUUACCACCAAUUAGUGGAAAAAAUAUCAGAAUUGGCUGCCAGUUUUUUUCACUAAGUGGUCCUUUGACCAAUGACAUCAGAUAUUUUCACAUCAGAUCUUUUUCAGAACUGAUCUGAUUGGUCAAAAGAUCAAUUAGUGGAAAAAAGAUCAGAGUUGAGUUGCCUGUCUAAACGCAGCCUAUGUAGGGUAUAGGUGUGCCAUGUAAGAGGUAAAUAGAAAACAGAUGAAAAGCAGAGGUCCUACCAUAACUUUAAAAUUCAGGAAGAGUUCAAGGUGAGGUUGAGCCGGUCGGGUUGCAUUUUGCUCCAAUUGAUUUGUGGAAUCAUACAUUUUACUUAGGCUCUUUGCACUGUGGUGUCGAGACAACGAUGCUGAUAUGCUGUGUUGAUAAGA